CCAACGGCUCUUUUAAGAGCCACCUACUGCUGCUGGAAAGAGCUUG
rfam:Myotis lucifugus cont2.52532, whole genome shotgun sequence.